rnacentral:RNase_P_RNA from 1 species
UGAGGGGAAGGCGCCCGCUCGCCGAGAAAUCUGCGGGAGGAAAGUCCGGACAUCGCAGGGCAGGAUUCCCGGUGAAAGCCGGGGCAGAGCGUCGAAAUACGUUCUGACGGCCAGUGUAACAGAAAACAAACCGCCGGCGAAGGUCGGCAAGGGUGAAAUGGUGGGGUAAGAGCCCACCGCGCCGUCGAGCAAUCGCGGUGGCACUAUAAACCCAAUCCGAUGCAAGGCAAAAUAGGGAGCUGGGCUGCCCGUCCUAGAGCUCCGGGUAUGCCGCACCGGCCGCCGGAAACGGCGCCGGAGUCUCCCAAAAGGAGGCUAGAUGAAUGGGCGCACGCCGGAAACGGCGCACAGAAUCCGGCUUACCCCUCAAAUC